rnacentral:lncRNA from 1 species
GAAAUUUUGUGAAAAACAACUGAACAACCAGUCCCCUUUACUUGACCAAGCUCUAGAUCAAAAGAGAACAUGGCAAGUUUACUCAUGUAAUUAAACUGUUAUUAUAUGGAACUACAUAUGGAUGCUUUUCUAUCUUUGUUGAGAUGUUACUAACUUGAAUCUAUUCUUUCAUCUUAUAAUCUAUUAUAUUGAUGGAAGAUGAUACCACCUUGCAUUUCUAGGGCAGCUUGAAGGACAGAAACCGAUGCUUUGAAGACCAGAACUCGAACUGUUUUUUGCCAAAUCGAGAUGUCCACAAAGGUUAAAUUUGCGUCAUGGCUUUUAGAAUAAUAAUGCUAAUUCCUUUGUGGACUCAAAUAUUCUCUACACUAUUAGAAGGAAUUGAGUCUUUAUCUAUACAUACAUAUGCACUUUCCUAGUACACAAUUUUAUUUAGUCUUUUUUUAUUGGUAAGAGUAAGAAAAUCUUCUUAGUACCGUUUAAUGAAAGUUUUCACGUUAUUUAUCAAAAAGAAUCUAUGAAACUGAUGAUUUAUGUAUUUAGACAUUCUUUGUUACUAAUGUGUUAACAAAACAAAUAAAGCACAUUCUUUGUUACUAAAGUAAAAAAUUCAUAUAAAGCACAUUUUUCGUAUACAGAGGUAUAUAAUUUGUGGCUUAUCUGCCUAAUGUUCAAAAUUUCAUUGUGUUGUUUCUGUGUGCUGUUAUUUAGCUUGUUAUUCCGUGUUUCCUGAUUCCUGACAGAGAUUCACUUUUAAAGGUGAAACCCAUCUUUUGGUCAAACACAGCACAAAUUGGAAACAAGACCUUCUAAUCCAUAUUUUCGUCAAACACAGCACACAUUGGAAACAAGACCUAGGGUAAAAUCAAUCACUAGAUUGUAACCUAGCGAUGAUUUUCCGUAAACUGAUGUAUAAAAAUAUAGCUAUAGAUAGGAUGGUCACAAAUAUGAAGGAGAAAAAGAGGUCAAGGAAAUUGGGUUUUUUCCAAAGUCAAAAGAAGAAAUCAAGUAUCAUAAACUUAAAAAAGACAGAAUACAGUUGCUAUUAACUUACGAGCUCCAGUUCAAAAUAAGUUCUGCACUUUGUAAAAGUAAAUUCUAUGAGCACAAUAAAAAGAUUCAGUGUUAUAAAAUAAUCGAAGUAUAGCUUUCCUUUUCCAAGUCAAAAGCAAUGAUUAUUGCAACAAGAACUAAUCACGAAAAUUAGUAAUAUCUGGGGAAAAUAUACUUCAUUCAGUUGGUAUACAAAAAGAUGUCACUGUUUAAAACAAGAACUUGGCACCAACAAAGAAAAUGAGAGUAAAUGUCCCAAGAAAUAAGAUCUUGAAGCUACAUAACCUAAAAAAUGCAUAAUUGUGCAUUGGAAUCUGUGUCCAAUCGCCACAAGCAUGUAACAACCAACAUCUGUCAUUGUCAUAGUUAUUCGAUCUCUUGUUUUUUCCUGGAAGGGCAGAAAAACUGCACAGCCAUGAUAUAUAAAAGCUAUUCGACAUUUGAUCUAAAACUAAUCAUCAACAGGCUGUUGCCUGUCUCAAACUAUUAUGAAGUCAUGGAUAAAUGCAAGAGGUAAACCUGAGUGGCAUUAGCAGUUGCAACAUUGACUGAGUAGCCAGCUGGAGCAAACCAUUCGUUUUUCAGAUCUCUAGAGAUAGAGCUGACCAAUCUUACAGAGUUAGAAGUAACCUGCAUGACAAUUUAUGCGCAACUUUCCUUGAAUACAGAUUGUUUAAUGUAUUCAGCCAGAAAUAUAAAAGAAGCUUUCCACAGAUGGUUAAUGACAACGUUAUGCCCUAAGCAAUCAGUGUUCGAUUCGAUCAUUACUCAUUAUAGUCUACCAAAUUACUGCAGAGAAAGAGGUUAUGGAAGAUUCUGGUUUCUCAAUUUUAACUCUCAAUGAAGCCAAAUAGGGACAUACUAGCAGUAACAAGGCAAUAGCAGUAACUGACAAUCUCAAAUAUGACAGCGCAAAGAAUAGUAUUUGUUCCAACAAAGACUCUCUGUCUCCCCUCAUCCAACGAGCACAUAUUAACAAAACAAGAUGCAUUACAACUUAAGAAGCAUGUAAAAGAUGACACAUAUAUGAACUUUGACAGAAUUUACGCACACAACUGGUGAUUAACCUAACAAAAAAGAUGAUACUGAAGGAAGAUGCUUCUGAAAUAACGUUCUCAUUUCUAACUUUUGUGAUCUUAAGAUAAUAUCAAGCAUAGUGGAAACACUUGACAAAUCUUCAAGACUACCAGUUACAGUAUGCGCAUAACAGACCAGAAAGAGUACCAACAAGAACUAGUGGAAACCAUUGAAGUCUACACUCUAGAGAAGGAAAGAAUUAGUUUCACAAUGUAACGACAGACAUUUUAUAUAACCUAGUAUCUGUAUAGAAAGAAACCAUGUUCCUGCAGACGGCUACCUACAAUUUAUAGAUUUUAUAAUCUAUUUCUGAGCAUUUCUAACUUGAAAAAUCACACCAAAUAACCCAAAAAGAAAGAAGUUGAACAUACCAAUUCCAUAUAUAGACCCUAAAGUAUAAUCCCCAGACAGAUCUAUAUUAUCAAAUCACAAUUUUGAUCUAAUCAUAAAUGUGUCUCAAUUCAUUACCCAGAGGUAGAUAAGAAUCUUAUAUGUAAGAUUGUUAUGAAAACCAUAGAGACAUGAAAAAUGCAACCAGUGGUAGGGGUAGUAUUUGAGAAGUAUGGUUUUAUGGAAUGGGGAUGGAGAACUAAAACCAUUACAGUUCCAUUUGGAUGUAGCAUGUGGAGGAGCAAAAUGAAGGGGUGGGAGGACUUCAAUGGUCAUAUCUUCUUUAGGGUUGGGGAUGGGAGAAGAAUUAGCUUUUGGAAUCACAAGUGGUUCGGGGAAGACACCUUGAGGAUUUCAUUCCCUAAUUUGUACAGAGUUUCGAACGACAAGGAAUUGACAGUCCAUUAGAUUCAGGGAGCGUGACGAGAAGUACUUUGGGAUAUGACGUUUAGCUAAGUUGCUCGGACACGGGUGCGGGUAUCCGAGACAUCGGAUCCGUCGAGAUGUAAAUUCUAAGAUACAGGGAUACGGAUCCUAGUAUGGAUACGGGUGCGGGGAUCCGGCUAAAAAUAAUUCAACAACAACCCAGUAUAAUCUCACUGGUGGGGUCUGGGGAGGGUACUGUGUACGCAGACCUUACCCCUACCCUGGGGUAGAGAGGCUGUUUCCAAUAGACCCUCGGCUCCUUCCCUCCAAGAACUCCCCACCUUGCUCUUGGGGUGACUCGAACUCACAACCUCUUGGUUGGAAGUGGAGGGUGCUUACCACUAGAGCAACCCACUCUUGUCUAAAAAUAAUUCAAAAAACUAAAAAUAUAGAAGUAUCUCUAAAUUAUGAGAAAUUUUGUGGAACACUUAUGUAUAUUUUGUAAAGUGUGGAUUUCUUUUUUAUUCUCAAGUUGUAAAUAAAUAUAGGAUUGAUUUCCUAGAUAAAGUACACUAUUUUCUACAAAUUUUCCCUAGUUUUGGUUCUGACUUCGGGAAUCAAAUUGUAUCUCGUCUCGAAUUUUUCCGUCUGUCGUGGUCAAAGUACCCAAAAUUGUUUGACCAAAUCCGGUACGGAUCCCAUACCCACACUAGUGUCAAGUCGGCACGGGUGCGGCACCUAAACUGCCAUGUCAGAGCAACUUAAACGUUUAGGAGAAAUCUGCAAGACUGGGAGUUGGGAGAGUUUCAAAGGUUAGUGGAGCUACUUUACAAGCAAAUCAGACCUCACUUUAAUAAUGACUCGUGGAGAUGAGCGCUAAAAAAUGAUGGUUUGUUCACAGUCAAAUCUCUCUACCAGAGUUUGUUGGUGAGAGAGGAGACACUUUCAACGUUUAUCGAUAUGGAUUCCUAGGGCGCCUAGAAAGGUGUGUGUUUUUGCAUGGGCAAGAGGAACGAUUCUGACAGCUGAGAAUCUGAGGAAGAGAAACAUUACUUAUGUCAGUAGGUGCUACAUGUGCAAAUGUUCGGGUGAAGAAGUUGAUCAUCUAUUGGUGCAUUAUAGAGUGGCAUCGGGUUUGUGGAGGGUGGUCCUGAAUUACUUUGGUGUACAAUGGGUGAUAGAUGUGUUGCACAGCUGGGCUGGUAGACAUAGUAGAAGGCGAUAAAAGGCAUGGAAGGUUGCUCUGUUAGCUGUUAUGUGGGUCGUAUGGAGAGAGAAAUAGGAGAGCUUUUGAGGGGAUUGAAAAUGAUUUUGUAUACUUGAGGAAUAGCCUUUUGUCUUUGAUUGCUUUUGGUGCACCCUUGAAAUUCCUACUUGUUUAGAUGAUUGGGUGUGUUUCGUAGAGAAUCAUGUUAUGUUGUAGAUUUUUUACUUUUUGGUAUACCUCUUGUAUACGGGAGCAUUUCCCAUUUUGUUAAUAAUACCAUUUACCUUAUAAAAAAAAAUGCAACCAGUGGUGGGAUAAGUUAUGCUGCCCUCUGUAAGUGUGAAAGAGCCUAUACUCUUAUUUAAUUUCCUUCCUUUCAAUUUUGUCAUACCAAGUCCAUUUAGUUCUUAAAACAGCUUGCCAAUCCUUCUCAUUUUGUAGAAUCCUUCAUCAGCAGUAGUGAAUAGCUGAUUAUUCCAUAGUGUCCACAUCCACAGUGGAAGAGAGUCAAGGAGAUUGAUAAAAUAAAAAAUCUAGUCCUAUUUACGUCUCAUAUUUUUAUUCUCUUACAAUAACAUUGUUCAGAAUGACAUAUACUGAACACUUGCAAAAGCACCUGGCUGGUAGAUUGAUGGGAUAAAAUACUUCUUAGACUCAGAAAAUGAUCUACUCAGCACAGGGCAUACCUGUACAAGCUGGUUGUAUACAGCAUCGUGACAAAACAAGGUCUGGACUUGAGAAUUGAAGCCUUCUAUCUCAGUUUCUUCCAGCUCAUCCUCAAGGUUCAUAGCUAAAACACGUGUCUCGCUAAUGAAGCUAACAACCAAGAAUGUGUCAUACGGAUCAUCAGUAGCUGAUCUAAGAGACCACAUUCCUUUGAUCCCUUGUAGUUCCACAGAUGCCUGUAAGUAGCAUCGCAUAUAGAUCAAGUUAUUGUAGCAAUAGGAAUACACACAAAAAUUUCACUCAAAAAUACUUUAGAUGACACGACCUGUUCAUUUAUUCCAAUUCCAUUUCGAACAAUACGAAGUGAGCCAUCCUUAUAGGCUCCAGAGCAAGUCACGACCUGACCUUGACCUUGCCUCUCCAGGUCAACAACACAGAAGUCCACAAUUGGCCCCAAAUUGACAUAUCUCUCUAGAACUUCCACAUAAGAACCUUUGGGGUCGGGCUGGAGAUUGAGCUUUACGAGCUGAACGUGAAUUCAAAAAUAUUAGUGGAACUGCCGAAAAUGAAACAUGUAAUGUGAAGCACCAAAGGAAAUAGGCAACCGAAAUUUAAAACCUCAAAGUUCCAAUGAAUCAAAAGCUACUAUACGGAGAUUUACAAUAAGGGGCUGUAGAAACCAACUUACUGCACCAAUAUGCACUCAUAUAAGUAACCUGAGACUCAUAACACUUCAAUUAAAUAUUGCAAUGCGAAUACAGCAACAGAUAAAAUUCCUAUAAGUCAGAUCGAGUUAUGAAAUCAUCAACCAAUAUUUAUUACAACUAUUCUGACAUCUUAGCAAAGAACCUCCUUCAACUCUAUGGUGUUAAUUAAACAUAAAACUACAUCCAGAUCGAGAUAAAUCUAUUUCGUUUAGUAAAUGUAACACUACAACUUUCACAUUACAAUGUUUAAAGGUUAAUUGUGAGCAAAAUGCUUCAUCUAAAGUCGAGCAAUUUGAAACCUAUGGCAAGUUAAUUUUUUGAAUACCCUCUAUCUAAUGAAAUGAAUUUAACAUUUGUAUUACAGUUUAAAAGUAGAUUCUAUUAGUAAAAUCUAUAAGCCAAUUGCUAGUCAAGUAGGUCAUAUUUAACCUCAGAUUAAUGGUAUACCGUCAUACAUGCAAACUUAGCAGAAAAUAAAGCAUGGUGGAAAGAAUAUAUUUCAAAAAGAAAAAAAAGAAAAAAAAACUGCAAUCUUUAAAAUUCAUGCAGGCUUAGUGAAAGAUUGAGCACAAUGGAAGAAAAAAGUCAACACACCCAAUAUCAACUAGUCAGGAUUAAGACUUAUUGUUUGUACAGUCGCAUUUGUCCAAUAUUUGCUAGGAUCAGUUAUUAUCAUGUAAGGGGAGUUCUAGGCUAGUAGAAAUGUAGAAAGCUUCUAGGGUUAAAAGGACCUAAUUCAGUUAACAUUGGAACGCGAGGCGUAUAAAUGGAGCAAAUUGGACAGUGAUGAUUUAGGUAGCCAACUCCAACUAGCUUGGGAUUGAGGCUUAGUUGUUGUAUAAUGAUACAUAUCUCACUAAGCACAAAUUAUUAUGCAAUUCAGAUAAAACGUGCAUAGCAGUGUUGUCAAAGGCACGCUUAAGCCCUGAAGCGAGGCUCAAAACAUAUUGAGCGCUUCGCCUCGCUUUGUGGGCGCUUCAGUGUCGCAUCAAGGCUCUAAGACAUACUUUUACUUGCCAAUAAGCGUAAUCCUGAAAAGGCGACACUAAAUAAUUGAUAUUUCACUUUAUCGUAAUCUUUUUUUUUCAAUUUCUUUGUCCAUAUAUUUGUUAUUCAUGCUUAUAAUUAUUGUUCUUAGACUACAUAUGCAUAUUUUUACUUUUCUCCAGUUGUGCCUUUUUUCAUUAAAGCCCAUGCUUUAUUUGCACAAGGACCUUAGAGCUUUUUUGCGCUUUUCGCCUUUGAUAACACUGGUGCAUAGCAAAAGGUACAUAUUCCUUUUCAAUCCACAAGAUGAAACAAGCAAUGGCACGUAGGUAUAAAAUUUCACAUUAGUUUAAACUUUAAUUCAACAGUUUAAAGUACCUGUGAAUCUCCAUAGCUUGACCCAAUGAAGACAAAAGCAUUGUCUAGGUAUGAUAUGGUUGAUGCAAUAGAAGUUUCUCCCAGUAGCUCAAUUUUGAGUCCGGUAACUCUGGGAAGUAAUAUUAAAUCUGCGUUAAAAAUUUUAUUCCCAGCAACUAGGCAAAGGUACAAGACAGCAUUUUGGUCCCAGCAAUUCAGCAAAAGAAUAAAAGACAGUCCAAAAAAUGCUGACUCACUUUUCCUUUUCAUGAGUGAUUACAAGUAGGUGAAGAAGCCCAUUAUGAUCCCCAAGCAAAUAUCGAGAACCAUCAGCAUCAACCCGCCCAUAUGCUCUUGUGAUAGACUUGAAAGGAUAAAUAAAGCAUUGGUGAGACAAUAUCUCAUUCAUUUAUUUAAUUAACAGCUUCUGUGAUAACGACUAGGUAAAACCUUUUAAAGGGUUUAUUCGGUCAAAAAGGCUGGGGGUGGUUGUACACAAAACAAAGAAAAUUAGUAAGUUAUACAUAUGCUUACAGGUCUAAUUGGGAUAGCCUUAAAAGCUGAAGCGCUACAGUAAACUAUGGUUUCUUCUCCAAUAAUCAGUACACCACACAGUGGCGGAGGUACUGGUAUUAGCAAAGAAGCUCCAUUAUCGAGAUUAUUUUGAGCCCAUGGCCCUUCAAUAAAAUCUUUAUCCUUCAACGACACCUCAUAUGUUUUGACAUGUCGUGCGUCCUUGUUAUCCUGCCAAUCAAACGUAAAGGUUCAGGACUAGAAUCAGAAUGAAGUAAUUUAAACACAGAGAGAAGACACCACCAUGGCAGUAGUGCAAAUUUGGUGGUUCAAACUCCCUCCCUCUCCAUAUCUUGGUUUUUAAAAAAGAAAGUGCACGACGUCAUUCUAUAACCAAGUGCUAACAACAAAUCCACGACUUAAGGGGCCAAUCAAAUUCCCAUGAUGAAAUGAGCAAAAGAUUUUACCAUAAUUACAAAAUGAAAAUGGUAAAUUAAGCAUUAUGGCUCUACAUCAUUUUUAAAACCACAGACCUGAUAUAGAACAACAAUUGUAGGCUUUGGGCAACCAUACAAGAAUUUAAUAUCCAAAACUUGAAGCUCCUCAAGCCUGGAAAAACCACAAAAUAAUGAACUAUCAAUCAAAGAAGAAUAGCUCCCAUGAGUAACAACUUGAUAUCCCUGGUGAAACGGUCAGACCUACUAUUCAGCAAUCCUCCUACAUAAAGUGUAUGAUACAAUUCUUAGGAGCAUAAUUCAGAUAAAUGAUCACUACCAAAAGACAUGUUGGUAGGUUGAUACACUAAAUGAGGUCACACCAGGUGUAUUUACAGCUUUGCCAAGACCAAGCACAGUAAAUGAUACAAUAGAGAAAGAACUUCAGUUUCUUAGUUAGGAAAACUUAAAGAAAGAGAACUCAAAGUGCAGCAUUAAAUAUUCAAAAAUGAAAGCAGCAGUCCAGAAAUCCUUGAAACUUUACAUCUACAACUUCAAUUUAAAUAAGGUUACAGGAAACAAACAUAAAAAGGUGAAACAAAUGAAUUUUGGAAUGCCAUCACAAAGGAAGAUUGCUAUGAAUUGAUCUGCUAAAGGACAACAAACAAUUUCCCUUUCCUUUCCCCUCCCCCUAUAUAUUAAAAAGAAUUUAACAAAAAGGAUAACAAGCAAUUCGUUUCUACAAGUUCACUUCCUGAAGUCAUGACCUGGAUCUUUUUUAUAACUAAGGUACUUGCUAGCUCCCACCAGCGCAAAGUACCAGGCUACGACACGAUAACCCUGCCGAACAAGGCUAAGGCAGAUAGGAAGAUAUCUCCUAUUUUUUGUCUCUUCUAGAAUUUGAAUCCUCGUCUCCUAUGGCUUUACCACUCAUUGACCGCUUGGCCACACCCUUGAGUGUGGUCCUUACUUGGAUUGUUGAUUUUAAGAAUGAUGUCACUAUUUUUCUUUUUCUUUGUUUGCUCCUACAGAUACAGCAUCCAUGCACCCUCAUAUCAAUCCCACAUGCCUCAUCCAUUAUAAUUUAAUGACAGAAAGGAGCAUUUAGCAAUUAGGCAGGUGGAUAUGAGUAGGUAAAAUGGUUCGGCUCAAGAAAAGUAAACUGCCUCAAGGGCUAGAGAGUAUUUAGCAAAAGUAGAGGACGUUACUUAAUUUAAGGAGAAAAUUGUAGAUAAGUUAGCUUCACAAUCUUGUAAAGGUAGAUCUGAGGAUACCUGAUGUUAAAGGCUUCCUUCAGUUGGCCUUUGUUAUCAAAUGGAAUAACCUGUUGACAGUGAAGUCCAAGUGAAUCUUUUGCAAACAUAAAGAUACCACCACAGAAGCUAAUCCAGCAAACAUUACAUGUCUUGUAAUGACAAUACCUUAAAUAGUCCAUCAUAAAGAUGCAACCCGAUCAAUCUGCAGUCUGGGUCGAUUAUACCAAUCUACCAAAAGAAAGAAAUAGGGUAAACGGCAAAUAUAAAAUAGGGUAUUGACUCAUUGACCAAAUGAGAAAUCAAAAGAUAUAUAAUACCAGUUUGCUCCUCUAAAUUAUAAUAAUAUUUAAGGGCAUUUCGAAAUAUAAUACCUGACCGUUAUCUGUGGGACGGCCUAUUCGAUCUGAGACAUCUCCCAUUGCUCUACAUAAAGAACACCAAAAGAAGGGAAGUCUUUGAAUUUGAGAAACAAAAUAUAUCCACUCACUAGAAAAGAUAUGGAGCGCACCACUACGAGUACAACAACAUACCCAGUGUAUUCUCACAGGUGGGGUCUGGGAAGGGUAGUGUGUACGCAGACCUUACCCUACCUUGUGAAGGUAGAGACAUAUUUUUUGAAAUAAAAAUUAGAUAAACAUACUGCUGCGACUGCGAGUAAUGAAAUAAAAAUUAAAUAAAAGAAAACCUUCAGCAACUAGAAAAACCAUAAGGCAUAUAAAAGCUACACCAACUCCUAAUAUUAAGUAGCAAGAAUGUUUUGUGAAUAAACAAUGACAUUUUCUUGGCUAACUUUUGAAGGAGUUUCCACAGAGACCAAACAAACUGUCAAGGCUUCUAUAAAAUGGUUAUAAAGAUGAAGUACACUGCACCAUGAUUCAUGUAUGUCAAGAGGACAUAUUCUUUUUCUUUUUUCUUUUGAUAAGUAGGAGGAUAUAGUUCUAUAUACACAUGCUUUCAAUGGGGAGUUGGAAAUCUAACUGCAAUGGAUUGUCAGAUUUUAUUUUUAUGAAAAAACUUUUAUAUAUUUAAAUUAGGCAUUUUAACCUACCAGGAAGAAACACAGUUUUGCAGACUAACCUUGUGAUAACUUCAGAUGCCUCAGCAUCCCAUUGAAGGACACAGAAUUUAUAUCGCUCUGUCGCAAUGAAGAGAAGAUCUUGUGUUUCACCCUGCCAGGAUACCCAGGGAACACAGAAAACUGACAUAUGGCUAAAAGAAACUUUUUCCUUGUGUCCAAUAUAAUUUGAAGGAUAAAAAUGAGCUACACAAUAAAAAGAUGUCAACUCACGUGGGGACGGAAAAGCUCGAGUGUCGCGAUUCUCCCAUAUAUUGGCACAUCUAACAUAGGCUGCAGACAAAAUACACUAAACUGAGCUCAUAUUUUGCAAUAUUCUAGAACCAAUGACACAUCACGUUUAUAGACAAAGAAUAUGAUCUAAUCAAAGCUUGGGACAGAAAUAAGAGUCACUAAUUCUUACAUUUACCAGAAAAAAGAAAAGAAAUAUAAAACGGUCAGCAAAAACACAGGUGAACUAAAGAGUGCGAAAAGAAAAAGGAGAGAAAAAAAUCUUGUAAUACAAAAGGCUCUUUAUAUAGGACUAUAGGCUACUAGAAAUAAGAAUUAAAUAAAUAGAUUAUCUAAAUACCAAGUUUCCUAGUAUGACACAAUAAAAACUAAUAUAAAAUCUAGACCAUGGUACUAUAGUAGCAUUAAUCGAUGUGAUUCUUUGAGUUAACAAAGAAUCAUCUGACCAACAUCAAGAUCUUGAAGCGGAAACAAUGAUUAGACGGCCUGAUUUCAAGACAUGAACAUAUCUGGAGCUGUAGAACUCAAUAAUCAAGUGAUUCAAUAACAAGGUGAAAAAUGAGAUUCUGCAUUACCAAAUUUACUUAAUCAAAACAAGAAAAUACCAACUUCAAAACAACUUAAAAUGCGAUCCGGUUCUGAAUGUUAAAAUGGGCAAAUUUACAAAUGGGAUGGGUAUUAUUUGAAGAAUCUUAACAUAGAAGUUCAAAAUGUCACCACUUAUAUCAAUUAACAUGAUAAUAAAGAGGCACCACAUGCAAUUGAGAAUAAAGAUAAAAACUAUCACCACCUUACUUGGAACAAAGGCGAGGAUAAAGAAAUAAAGUAAAUUGCAAAUGGUUGUUGUAGCAAAAUAUAUGAACUAUGAAUAUACAUGGCAUGAGAACCAUUUAUAUAGGUCUAAGUUCUCUUGUUUGACGAUCACCAUUCAUGUUCUAAAAUGAAAGUAAAAUAAGGUUCUACUGGAAAAAUAUAAUUAAAGUAAAAACCUACCAAGAAAAGGAAACAAGAAAUCCCUUCCAGGAAAACAACAAACCAACUUAUUAAGGAAACAAGAAACUAGAAGUUCUAUUUUUGGAAGGAAACUAGAUGUUAUAUUCUCAGAAGGAAUCUACAAACUUGAGCUUCUUGGGCCUCUUGGGCUCCUUGAAAGCAAUUCCACAUGUUUGAACUUGGGUUAUAAUUUUGGUCUAGGUCAAGUUUGUUUUUCUUAUCAAAAAUAAACUUGACCAAGACCAAAAUUCAUAAAACUCAUCCUCGAGUAUAAAAGCUCCACAAAUGGCACAAGAUUAGCGACACUCAUGAUUGAAGACACCCAAUUCACCGGGCUCAAAGUUGCAUUUCUCUAACUUCUUAUAUAGCUUCUUCACGACGAAAGUAAUUUUAGCAUGUGGUCGAACUACAACUCACUUUUACAGUUGUAACUAAUUUUUUCCGAGGAAUUAUCCUAAAGUGACUAUCAAACUUCAAGCCAAUCUAAAGUUAUCUCUAUUGGAACCUUAUGAAGCUUAACCAUCUCCAUGUUCAGCUAUAACCUGAGGAGCAUACAUGAAAAACCUUUAAAUUAAGCAUGGAUCAAGGAAUAUCUUCUUGAGAAUAAAUCAACAACAAUAUUUGUAGUCACAUAUUCAAAACAUAUUAUAGCCACUGCUUGUAAUAUUGUAGAGAGUUCUCUUGUCCACACAUUCUUGCCAAGAUCCAUUCUCUUAAGGCACUAAACAGUUUGAAACUAAAUAGAGGCUCAAACUCUCCAAUGUUGGCUCCUCUUGAGGAUACUCUACCUCUUGUCCUUGCAACUCUUCAUUGACAUUCGGAAUUACGUAGCUUGCUACCUUGUAAAAAUGCAGUCAAGAAUCAAUCAAUAUUAUGUAGAAUCUCAUGCAUGGGUGGAUGCUCAUGUGGACCCACUUAGAAAAUCACAUCAUCAAACCUUAGGUAACUUCUCAACUUGUGGAUUUAACACAUGCUCCUUUCUUUGCAUUUCCAUAGCCACGUCAAUGUUCCAAAGGUUCUUUGUUGAUAGGACCAAUUAUUUGCGAUUUGGUCAUUAAGAAAUCAUGCGUAAAUUGGCUCAAGUUAGUAAGUUCUUCUGCAUGCAAUAAUGUCAAAACUAAUAUUUUUCGUAAAUAAAUACUCCCUCCAUUCUAAUUUAUAUGACACACUUUCUUUAUUAGUCUGUUCCAAAAGAACCAUGCAUUUCUACAUUUGAAAUCAAUUUAACUUUAAACUUUUUAUUUUACCCACUUUACCCUUAAGGAGAAAUUUCUAUAACCGUACAAAUAUCAGGGCACCACAAAGCUUUUACCCCUUAAGGUUUUUUUUUUGAUAAGGUAAAUUGUAUUAAUCAAAAGGGAGAGAACUCCCGUGUACACGAAGUAUACCAAAGACGUAGAGAAUUUACAUCAGAACAUGAUUCUCUACAAAAGACGCCCAAUCUUCUAUACAAGUAGGGGCUAAAUGAGUGCACCAAAAAGCGAUCAAAGAUAAAAGACUAUUCUUAAGAUGUGAAAAAGGAGACUCAAUCUCCUCAAAAGCUCUCCUAUUUCUCUCCCCCCAUACUACCCACAUAGAGCUAACGGGGCUAAUUUCCACACCUUUUGCUUUCUUCUUCUACGAAAACCGCCCCAGCUAUAUAACAUUUCCUUUACACUGUUUGGCAUCACCCAUUGAACACCAAAAAGAUUCAGGAUCGACCUCCACAAUGCAGAGGACACAGGGCAAUGCAACAUAAGGUGAUCAACUUCUUCCCCAGAGCUUUUACACAUGUAGCACCAACUAACAAGUGUAAUUCCCCUCUUUCGGAGAUUUUCAGAAAUCAAGAUCACUCCCCUUGCCGCUAGCCAUGCAAAAAAGCACACCUUAGUGGGUGCCCUAGGAAUCCAGAUCAAGGAGUAUGGAAAAGUGGUCUCCUCUCUCACCAACAUACUCUGGUAAAAGGACUUUACGGUGAACAAACCAUCGCCACGCAAGCCCCAUCUCCAAUAGUCGCAGGAUGGCUAGAGCAUGUCUUGCCCGUAUAGCUGUGCCAACAAGACUUGAAGCUCCGCAAUCUCCCAAUCUUGCAUGUUCCUCCUGAAUGAGAGGUCCCAUACUACCCCCUUCAUGCUCCUUGCGAAUCUGUUGGACCAUCAGUUCCUUCUGGUUUGAAACUCUGAAGACGUGGGGGAAGGAGACCCUCAGAGUAUCCUCUCCACACCACCUAUGAUUCCAAAAGCUGAUUCUUCUUCCAUCUCCCACCCUGUAAGUGAUGUUGCCACUGAAUGCUUCCCAAUUCUUCAUGAUACUCCUCCACAUGCCACACCCAAAAGGUGUUGUGAUCGCCUUGGUCCUCCAAUCCCCUCCCGUUGAAUCGUACUUUUCUACGAUAACCUCCCUCCAUAGAGCAUGCUCUUCUACCCCGAAUCUCCACAGCCACUUUCCCAUUAAAGCUCUGUUAAAUACCCUAAGAUCUUUCACUCCAAGUCCACCCCACUUCUUUGGGGAAGUGACUGUCUGCUAAUUCACUAGAUGAAACUUUCUAGUUCCAUCCGCCGCAUCCCACAGGAAGUUCCUUUGAAGUCGCUCCAGUUUUUCUGUGAUGCUCACCGGUGCCUGCAACAGGGAUAAGUAAUAGGUGGGCAUACUCGAUAAAGUGCUUUUGAUAGGCACUUCCUUACCUCCUUUUGACAAAUACCGUUUCUGCCACCCUGCUAAUCUUUUUUCAACCCGCUCGAUCACUGGAUUCCAAACCGUAGUAUCCUUAUAUGAA